rnacentral:rRNA from 1 species
UAAAGUUGUUGCAGUUAAAAAGCUCGUAGUUGAAUUUCGGAGUCAGUAAAGUUGGUCGUGCCACUGGUAUGUACUGGCUUUACUGGCUCCUCCUUCUUGAAGAACUGUGAUGUCAUUUACUUGGUGUUGCAGGGAAACAGGACUGUUACUUUGAAAAAAUUAGAGUGUUUAAAGCAGGCUAACGCUUGAAUACAUUAGCAUGGAAUAAUGAAAUAGGACGUUUGAUCCUAUUUUGUUGGUUUCUAGGAUUGACGUAAUGAUUAAUAGGG